AUUGAACGCUAGCGGGAUGCUUUACACAUGCCAGUCGAACGGCAGCGCGGACUUCGGUCUGGCGGCGAGUGGCGAACGGGUGAGUAAUGUAUCGGAACGUGCCCAGUAGCGGGGGAUAACUACGCGAAAGCGUAGCUAAUACCGCAUACGCCCUACGGGGGAAAGCAGGGGAUCGUAAGACCUUGCACUAUUGGAGCGGCCGAUAUCGGAUUAGCUAGUUGGUGAGGUAACGGCUCACCAAGGCGACGAUCCGUAGCUGGUUUGAGAGGACGACCAGCCACACUGGGACUGAGACACGGCCCAGACUCCUACGGGAGGCAGCAGUGGGGAAUUUUGGACAAUGGGGGCAACCCUGAUCCAGCCAUCCCGCGUGUGCGAUGAAGGCCUUCGGGUUGUAAAGCACUUUUGGCAGGAAAGAAACGUCGCGGGCUAAUACCCCGUGGAACUGACGGUACCUGCAGAAUAAGCACCGGCUAACUAC
rnacentral:rRNA from 1 species